CCUUCAAUAUUUCAUGUCAUGCUGUGAAACUCUUUAUCUGACCUUCAAUUCUAAAUGAUAGCUUUGCUUGGUAGAGCAAUCUUGGCUGUAAUUUCUUCCUAUUCAUUACUUUGAAUAUUUCUUGCCAUUCCCUUCUGGCCUGCAAAGUUUCUGUUGAAAAAUCAGCUGAAAGUCAUCUGGGUGCUGUCUUGUAGGUAACUAACUGCUUUUCUGAUGAUGUUUUGAAAAUUCUCUCUUUGUCUUUAAACCUUGGCAUUUUAAUUAUGAUGUGUCUUGGUGUGUGCCUGUUUGAGACUCUUUGUACCUCCUAGACGUGUAAGUCUAUUUCUUUCACCAGGUAGUGGGGAGUUUUCUUUCAUUAUUUCUUCAAAUAGGUUUUCAAUAUAUCACUCUCUCUCUCUUCUUCUCCUGGCACCCCCAUAGUAUGAAUGUUUGUAUGCUUGGAUUAUUAUAUGUAAAUUAUUCUUUAUUUCAGUUAGUGUAUGCUUAAUUUCUGACUGGUUCUUAUUCAGGUCACCUAUGUUCUCACUAAUUUUCUUGAAAUUCUCAUUCAUAUCCUUGAAAGUCUCACCAAGUCCCUUGAAGAUACUUGAGCAGACUCAUUAAUAUACUUGAGCAACCUCAUAACCAUUGUUUUGAACUCCAUAUCUAGUAGUUUGCUUGCUUUCAUUUAAUUUAGUUGUUGGUUUUUUUUCUGGAGAUUUCUUCUGUGUUUCCCCCCCCCCCCCCAUUUAUUACAUGAACCCUUUCCACUCUUUUGAAAAGUCUGACACACACUAAGGUAGAAUUCCCAAUUAAAGAAAGGGCCCCCAAAUCAGUUUUUAAAUUUUGAUCAAAAAACAAUCUUUGGUUUUUGAUAUGAUCCGUAGAUGUGAAUAUCACCUCUUUCAUGUGCUGUUUUCUUGAGCUUGAGCAUAUUACUGACUCUUUGCAUGUCUAUAUUUUCAUUUAUAAAAUGUGUGUAGAUAUGGUAUCUGUGCUAUAGGUUGACCGGAAUAAAUUCAGUUAGGUAUGCAAAGUCCUUUGAUCAGUACCAGGUGCACAGUAGGUGCUCAGUAAAUAUAAGUUGUCAUUAUGUUUUAAGGAUGGCUGCUUUUCAUAUCACCCAUCCUCUUCCUUUAUUUGUUAAAUUUAAAGCAAUCAAACCUUGGUGAAAAUAUACUCUGUUGUUGACCUACUUUCCUUGCUCCACACCCUCUUCAGUCAAGCUGUUGCAGAGGAGAGGAAGCCUGGGAUGCUCCCAGAAUCACGUGCUGCUCACCUCCUGUGCUGAACCCCAAAGCUGAAGUCUGGACUACAACAAAAACGUUGGGCUACUGGUGUAUAUAGAGAAAAAACUUGGUGGCACUAUUUGAAUUUCUGAGUAUUUUUUUAAAAUUAUAAAAUAGAGAAAGGACCAAGCUAAACCCCUAUGCAUUCAUGAAACAAUCAAGAAAGUACAAGCCAAGGUACAUCUACUAUGGAGAGAUAACACUAGGAGGGCACUUGAAGGGAAGCUCCUGUCACACAAUGCUACCUCACCUGAAAACCUCUUUUACUGCUCUGGCCCAAGGGACCAAAUCCAUGAGUUUAUCCCUCUCUGGGUUCCACAGAGAUCCCAUUAUUUUAAUUGAGAGGUGUGUUUCUCUUUAACACCUCUAGAGGGCAGAACUAAACAGAGUGCCA